rnacentral:rRNA from 1 species
GAGUUUGAUCAUGGCUCAGGAUAAACGCUGGCGGCGUGCAUGAGACAUGCAAGUCGAACGGACACUUGGGGCUUGCUCCAAGUGUUAGUGGCGGACGGCUGAGUAACGCGUAGGUGACCUGCCCCGAAGUGGGGAAUAACUGCCCGAAAGGGUGGCUAAUACCGCAUGUGGUGGUGUGUUCAUUCACACCAGUAAAGCCGCAAGGCGCUUCGGGAGGGGCCUGCGUCCGAUUAGCUCGUUGGUGGGGUAACGGCUCACCAAGGCGACGAUCGGUAGGUGGUCUGAGAGGACGAUCACCCAGACUGGGACUGAGACACGGCCCAGACUCCUACGGGAGGCAGCAGUCGGGAAUUUUGCGCAAUGGACGAAAGUCUGACGCAGCAACGCCGCGUGAGGGAUGAAGGCCUUCGGGCUGUAAACCUCUUUUAUCAGGAAGAUAAUGACGGUACCUGAUGAAUAAGUCACGGCUAACUACGUGCCAGCAGCCGCCGCCGUAAG